UUGCAGUUAAAAAGCUCGUAGUCGGAUUUCAGUAUUAGGCCCUUCUUCCAAUACGGUUGCUAGUGGUCUUUACUUCCUUAACAGAAUCUUUCAUCUCAUUAAUUUGGGGUGUUUGGGGCCUGUUUCUUUUACUUUGAGAAAAUUAGAGUGUUCAAAGCGGGUUUUCGCCUGGAUAUUACUCUUGGAAUAAUAAUAUAGGACUUUGGUUCUUUUUUGUUGGUGACUUAGAACCGAAGUAAUGAUUGAUAGGGACAGUUGGGGUCAUUCGUACUAUGAAGCGAGAGGUGAAAUUCAUGGACCUUUGUAUGACGAACUACUGCGAAAGCAUUUGACUAGGAUGUUCCCGUUGAUCAAGAACGAAAGUUGGGGGAUCGAAGACGAUCAGAUACCGUCGUAGUCUCAACCAUAAACUAUGCCAGCUAGGGAUUGGAGGAAGAUC
rnacentral:rRNA from 1 species